rnacentral:rRNA from 1 species
CAAAAACAUAGCUAUUAGAAUUUAAUAAUAGUGAAUUCUGCUCAAUGAGUUUUAAAUAGCCGCAGUACACUGACUGUGCAAAGGUAGCAUAAUCAGUUGGCUUAUAAUUGAAGUCUUGUAUGAAUGAAUAAAUGGGGAGUAACUGUAUCUGAAAUAGAAAAUGAAAUUACUCAGUAAGUGCAAAUUCUUACAAAUACAUAAUAGACGAGGAGACCUUAGAAAUUUUGAACAUGUGUACAACGGCUUUUUUGUUGGGGCCACAGUGUAACAGAUAACUUACAUUAUAAGACAAGAAAUUUAUUUGAAAGAUAAAAUUACUCUAGGGAUAACAGCGUAAUAUUUUGUAUGUUUGCGACCUCGAUGUUGGACUAGGAAACGAAUACUUAGAAGGUUAGUUGUAAGCUCUGUUCG